rnacentral:rRNA from 1 species
UACGGAGGGAGCUAGCGUUGUUCGGAAUUACUGGGCGUAAAGCGCGCGUAGGCGGCUUUGUAAGUUAGAGGUGAAAGCCCGGGGCUCAACUCCGGAACUGCCUUUAAGACUGCAUCGCUAGAAUCCGGGAGAGGUGAGUGGAGUUCCGAGUGUAGAGGUGAAAUUCGUAGAUAUUCGGAAGAACACCAGUGGCGAAGGCGGCUCACUGGACCGGUAUUGACGCUGAGGUGCGAAAGCGUGGGGAGCAAACAGG